rnacentral:rRNA from 1 species
GGACCUCUGAUCAGAAAAGACUACCCGCUGAGUUUAAGCAUAUCACUAAGCGGAGGAGAAGAAACUAACCAGGAUUUCCCUAGUAACGGCGAGCGAACCGGAAAGAGCCCAGCUUGAAAAUCGCGGCGCUGCGCGCCGCGAGUUGUAGUCUGGAGAAGCGUCCUC